UACGCACGGUCCUUGGCUAAUUAAUUCCAACUCCUUAAUUAGAAUACAUCGAUUAGUUAUUAGUAUCAAUUACGUCUGCUUAAUCAUUACGCACGGUCCUUGGCUAAUUAAUUCCAAGUCCUCAAUUAGAAUACAUCGAUUAGUUAUUAGUGUCAAUUACAUCUGCUUAAUUGUUAUGCAAGGCCCUUAGCUAAUUAAUUCCAAGUCCUUAAUUAGAAUACAUCGAUUAGUCAUUUGUACAAUUACGUCUGCUUAAUUAUUACGCAGGGUCUUUGGCUAAUUAAUCCCAAGUCCUUAAUUAGAAUAUAUCAAUUAGUUAUUAGUAUCAAUUACGUCUGCUUAAUUGUUACGCAAGGCCCUUGGCUAAUUAAUCCCAAGUCCUUAAUUAGAAUACAUCAGUUAGUUAUUAGUAUCAAUUAAGUCUGCCUAAUUA